CUUGCUUGCUGUUUAACUUUCCUAUAAACUCUGCUUUUUUCCUCAGAAAAACCCAACUGCUGCACCCAUAAACUUUUGUGCUGAGAAGGGAAUUUCAAAUCCAAAGAGGCAUCGGUGGCAAGCAGGCGGUGCAGCUUGUGGCUUGCCUCUGGCUUGUGAAGCCCAUGAUAGCAAAGUCUUUUGCAUAAAAGGACUGAGUCACAGGCAUGCUAAGGCAAUUCUUUUAUGCCUUAGCAAAUAAACAGCAAACCAUCACCAAGAAUCUGACAGAACUUUUUAGUGUCCAAAUCCCCAAAAGAGGUGGGGAUAGAGUAUCAUAAGGACCCACCUGAUCGUGGAUUGCGAACACACAGAGUACCCGAUUUUGUCAGAGAACGAUCCUCGUACUCUUCUUUACAAUGGCAGGAGUAUGUUCCAUAUUCGUUGAGACAAGUGGCCUCGUUGCCACAUAAAGCAAUUUCAGAGUUGCAUUCAUUCACAUCUAUCACGCAUGGACAAAACAGUUUUCCAUUAACAGAGUUCAGCUGUACAAGGCGUUUAUCAGAUCCAGCAUGGAAAUAAACAGUUUAAAAAACAGGACUUACCAUGGGAUUUAUUUUUUACUUUCAAGAGAAUGCUACUGGUUGGCAACCAACUAGAAGGGGAAGACAAAAGAGUUGUUUUGGUCCGCUUCUUUUGCAAAUGCUCUCUAUUCCUGUUUAUUGACUUCUUGUAUUGUAUAGUAAAAGCUGUGUUCAUCUGAGUUCUCAUCAGCCAAUUUGAAGGCAUAACUUUGGGGUUCGCAGUUGUGGAAGUACUCAUCAAGUAAUCAUUAAAUGACUUCAAAGAAGGAGUAGGGUCCGUAUCA
rnacentral:lncRNA from 1 species